AUCAGACUGAGGGGGGAAAAAGGGUAGAGCUCAAAAGGGCAGAGAGCCGAGACAAGACAGAGAGGUCACAGGAUAAGUCAUCAUCGAAUUGUUAGCCUCUCCCUAUUGAUCACUACAUGGGUGUCCAUUAGCAGCAUUCCCAUAAGAGGCACCCCCUGCAGGAGAUGAAGCAAGCACAUGUGUUUUCCACCACAGACGCAGAGGAGGAUCAGAGCUAGUCGCUGGGACAGGCAGACCUGGUGUAGGCUAGUCUAGUCUGUACAGCCAGGUCCAUGGACAUGCACUUACAGCCCUCCCUCAUUCCAACUCCAUGUGGCUGACUCCCAGCAUGCCUAGAGGGGUGAAUGAGAGGAGUGUCCCGCACCCCACCCAAAAGGAAUGCCACUCACACAGCAUCGCCUCUGGCUGUCUGUUGGCUCGCUUAGCCUGCAUCUGUUCAUGUGGUUUCUCAUUGUAUACUCUCCCUUGUCUUCUCAAUGGCAUUGUUUGUUUUGUUUUGAAGGUCGAAGCAGGGGUGGAUCUUAUGCAUUCAAUACAUUGGUUUUGCAGGAGAUCCGUUGACCAUGUGUGAGGUACAACAGGACUUUCUGUUAGGCUAAGGAGGAAUGCAUGAGGAUAUCAGGGUGUUGUCCUGUUGCCAUUGUGGGAAGAAAUUACAUUAUUGCACCCAUCAACCUCACAUUCCACCAUGAUACUGUACAUGUGUUACUCUUGGUGUCCUAGAUCCUUUGUUGUCACAUCAAUCCUUGUGUUUAAAUUAUGAGUGUAAUGGUGGGUGUUGACUAGAAACUUUUAGUAAAUGUUACAUGUUUUUGAUAGAAGGUACUUUUGUCAUCAUGCUGCUGCUGGUUUCAAUUUCACUACUUCCCCUGACAAACUGUACAAUUAGUUCACAGUUGAUGUUGAUAAAUGGAAAAUAUUUUACUGACUCAACAAUUAUGCUCAUCCUAUUUCAUGCCAUUUAAGCUGAGCAAAAAACAUGAAGUAUUGAAUUACUGAUAAGGUCCAGUGUCCAAAUGACUAAUCAGUCUUCAUCCCUGUUCCAUACUGUAGAUAAUACCGCAUAGACAUUCCACCAAGGUGACCUAACCAAAGCAGACAGCCUCCAAAGUCAAGCUACUGUCCAGUGACUACAGUCUUCAGUUUUUUCUUUAAAUCAAGCUAGUGGUUUGGAAUAAAGUAUGUGUUUGGAUGUGUAUACAACUGUGCAUGGUGUAAAUCUGCUUGCAACCCCCAGUCAACUGGUACCAUGCUCGAAAUAGGUGUUGUCCCUGGACUGUUCCUGUGAUGUUACUCCAAACCAGUCAACUUCUCCAAAUUCAGUGCACAAUGCAGAUAUACAAUCACUAUCAGUUUCAUAUAGGUUUUGAUUGAGAAAGAUGGGGCUACAUUGUGUAGAUGUGGAAACCGGCACUACAUUUUCUGAUUGCUGAUAGUUUGAAAAUCUGACUUAUUUCUAAAAAGAAUUACACUGUGACAAAUCUUGAAGUUGCCUUUUUGAUGAUUGUGUUAAGCUGCUUUGUAGGAGGGUAACCCCCUUCAUAUAAGGAAUCUAUCCAACGGUGGACUUUGCCAACUGGAAUCUGUCACCAACUGGUUUGAAUGUAAAACUAAACAGAUGUCUAUUAAUUUGUACAUAUCUGCUCUCAAUGAAUGGAACCUGGGUCUCUUGUGAAACGUCUAACAUUGCCUGAGUAGACAUUUUCCCUCCGAUGUAUGUGAUGAAAAUAACUGAUAUGAAGGCAUGGUUUUCAUUACUUUUUAUUUCAAUGAAAUGAAGAGCCAAUGUGGAAUUGAGUUGUGCUUUCUCUGUUGUGACAUUAGUACAUUCGGUUUUCAUACAAUCUUUUGGGAAUCUUUCAGUUGAAUCUUAAGGAUCCCUGUCUAACACGAAAUCAAAAUACAGUUAGUCAUUAAAACACCAUUCUGAAGAUUACGAUGAAACAAAAUACUAUUAAUUGGAAAGAUGAUAAAGUUAAGUUUCAUUAUGUUAACAGAGCCUUUGGAGUCAGUGUGUAUUGCACACAAACUCAAAAUAUAUAUUUUUUAAACUUUAUCACAAAGGUCUCACUAGUCUUUGUAAAAUGCUUGAAUACCAGUAGUUGGAUUACACCCUCUGGUGGCUUCAGAUUAUAUUUGCACAUUUCUCUGUGGUCCAGUUGUUCUGUUUGUACAUGCAAGACAUUUGGAUUGAGCCCCCAGCCAAUUCAAACAGAUCUAAUUUGCAAUGUGCUUGAUUCAGGUGAUUGUAUUGCUCUUCUCGUUGACAGUCCGCUUAAGCCCUUGUUCAAGUUCAAAAGUCUUGUUUGUAAAUAUUGCUUUUCACCCUUUUGUAAA